rnacentral:rRNA from 1 species
GGGCCCGCACAAGCGGCGGAGCAUGCGGCUUAAUUCGAUGCAACGCGAAGAACCUUACCUAGGCUUGACAUACAGCGUUUACUGGCAGAGAUGUCAGGUCCUUUAGAGGGCGCUAUACAGGUGGUGCAUGGCUGUCGUCAGCUCGUGUCGUGAGAUGUUGGGUUAAGUCCCGCAACGAGCGCAACCCUCGUCCUAUGUUGCCAGCGGUUCGGCCGGGGACUCUAGAAAAACUGCCAGCGUAAGCUGUGAGGAAGGUGGGGAUGACGUCAAAUCAUCACGGCCCUUACGUCCUGGGCUACACACGUGCUACAAUGGUAGGGACAGAGAGUUGCCAACCCGCGAGGGUGAGCUAAUCUUCAAACCCUAUCUCAGUUCGGAUCGGAGUCUGCAACUCGACUCCGUGAAGUUGGAAUCGCUAGUAA